AAAUGACACUCCUUCAAGCUCCAUCUUCUCCAACUCUAACAUUUCAUCAGUAUUGUACUUCACAACCCAAAGCAGGGUUAUAUGUAGCUGAGAAGUCUUUUAUUCAGUCUACUUUGAGUGGUUCUUGUUUUUUGUCCUCUCAAAGACAAGUGAAAGGUUUGAACUUUUCGUAUACAUGUUCAAGAUUGAGCUCAGUUACAGCUAAAGCUGCUUCAAAUGGAGCUUGUGCUCCUUCAGUGUCAGGUCAAACAGCCGACUCUGAAGUACUUAAAGCCCUAUCCCAGAUAAUUGAUCCUGAUUUCGGGACUGACAUAGUCUCUUGCGGAUUUGUGAAGGACCUACUGGUUGAUGAAAAUUUGGGAGAGGUUUCAUUUCGGUUAGAGCUUACAACACCAGCAUGUCCAAUCAAGGACAUGUUUGAGCAGAAGGCUAAUGAAGUGGUUGCUGAACUUCCUUGGGUUAAAAAGGUCAAUGUGACAAUGUCAGCUCAAUCAGCAAAACCUAUCUAUGCUGGACAGCUUCCCGCCGGGCUACAAACAAUCUCCAACAUAAUCGCUGUUUCUAGUUGCAAGGGAGGGGUUGGUAAAUCAACUGUAGCUGUCAACCUAGCUUACACUUUGGCUGAUAUGGGAGCUAGAGUUGGUAUAUUUGAUGCAGAUGUAUAUGGUCCUAGUUUGCCAACUAUGGUGUCCCCAGAAAACCGGAUACUUGAAAUGAAUGCAGAGAAAAGAACCAUCAUUCCAACUGAAUACAUGGGUGUGAAGUUGGUAUCUUUUGGAUUUGCUGGGCAAGGGCGUGCAAUUAUGCGAGGUCCCAUGGUUUCUGGGGUCAUCAACCAACUGCUGACUACUACAGAAUGGGGAGAAUUGGACUAUCUAGUUAUUGACAUGCCCCCUGGAACUGGUGAUAUUCAACUCACUCUAUGCCAGGUUGUUCCUUUGACUGCUGCAGUUAUUGUUACUACACCUCAAAAGCUAGCAUUUAUUGAUGUUGCGAAGGGUGUCCGUAUGUUCUCGAAGCUUAAGGUGCCUUGCGUUGCCGUAGUUGAGAACAUGUGCCACUUCGAUG
rnacentral:misc_RNA from 1 species